rnacentral:rRNA from 1 species
UACGGGGGGAGCAAGCGUUGUUCGGAUUUACUGGGCGUAAAGGGCGCGUAGGCGGCCACUGCAAGUCAGUUGUGAAAUCUCCGGGCUUAACCCGGAAAGGUCAACUGAUACUGCAGGGCUAGAGUGCAGAAGGGGCAACUGGAAUUCUCGGUGUAGCGGUGAAAUGCGUAGAUAUCGAGAGGAACACCUGCGGCGAAGGCGGGUUGCUGGGCUGACACUGACGCUGAGGCGCGACAGCGUGGGGAGCAAACAGG